rnacentral:rRNA from 1 species
UACGGAGGGUGCAAGCGUUAUCCGGAAUCACUGGGUUUAAAGGGUGCGUAGGCGGUUUAAUAAGUCAGAGGUGAAAGCCCACAGCUCAACUGUGGAAUUGCCUUUGAUACUGUUGGACUUGAAUCAGGUUGAGGUUGGCGGAAUGUGACAUGUAGCGGUGAAAUGCAUAGAUAUGUCAUAGAACACCAAUUGCGAAGGCAGCUGACUAGGCCUUGAUUGACGCUGAGGCACGAAAGCGUGGGGAGCGAACAGG